rnacentral:lncRNA from 1 species
GAUAGUCAUUUUUUUCUUUCAUCUACAUUAUAUAUGAUUUUUCCUUCCCUAGAAGUUUAGUCUAAUAUUAUAAUGAUCUCUUUAUUUAUGUGUGUUCAAAAUAGACCAGGAGUUACUUGACAGUAGUGAUGUGUGUGAUUCAUCUCCAGGACAUUGUAUUUAGGGCAAGGCUCAAAGGGGUUUAGGUACAGAAUAAAUGGUUCUAACCCUGACUAUCCAAAUGUAUUUCAUUUAACAAUGGAUUGUAGGAAAUGAUUUGUUUGUGAUAUCCAAAUGUAUUUCAUUUAACAAUGGAUUGUAAGAAAUAAUUUGUGUAUAUGGCAUCACAUGGACUAAAAUGUUUCAAAUAAAAAAAGUUUCAAGAUGACUAAUGUUCUGAAAUAAUAAUAAUAAUUACAUACUUUUCUGCUUUUUAAAAGAGUAUGACUCGAAAUAUCAUAAACAUCAAUUAUUAUGCUGAGCUAUAUCAAGAAUAUUCUUAAGGACUAUUUAGAUACAUGAGAUUAUUUGCCCCUAUAUGUAUGAGUAGCUCCAGACAUAUGGAUAUAUGGAUUUUAAAUUCUCAUAUCUUUAUGUGUGGAUUUAAAAUUCUCAUAUCUAUUUUUUAUACUUUUGUCAACUCUCCUCACUGUCAGAUUGUGUUAUCAUGUCUUGGUAAUAUCAGUUUAUCUGCCUUUAAAAACUGUCCUGUAUGUUGUCAAACUCUUGAACAGCAAAGGAAAAGAAAAGAGGUCCUCUUCUCUUUCUAUUCAUCUUUGUAUUGCCUGUGGACUAAUAUACCAGGGACCAUGCUUAUUGGAAAUGUGGAUAUGAUAAGAGUCAGUAACCACCAAGUCUUGGCGUGGGUGCCAUUCCUAUGAAUAAAGUGCAUCAGCUUCCAGUGAAAAUAUAGCUUUGGCUACUUAGGGGUCUUUUUAGUUUCUUUCUUUGUUUACAACUAUAUUCUGGGAAAGUGAGGUUGCUGGACAAGUGAAGUGGUUGCAUGCCAUCUCAAGCAAUUAGGAUAUAGGUCCUAAUUAAUUAACUGCAUGUAACCAAGAUUUUAAAUAAAGUGGCUUAAGAGUGCAUUUACAAUGGUA